GCCAGGAUGGCGUAGUGGUUUGAGUGCUGAACUACAACUCCAGAGACCAGAGUUCAAUUCCAAGCUCAACCA